CACCGCUGAUCGCACGGCCCUCGUGCCGGCGCGGUG
rnacentral:rRNA from 1 species